rnacentral:rRNA from 1 species
CCUACGGGUGGCAGCAGUAGGGAAUAUUGCUCAAUGGGGGAAACCCUGAAGCAGCAACGCCGCGUGGAGGAUGAAGGUUUUCGGAUUGUAAAGCUCUAUCAGUAGGGAAGAAAAUGACGGUACCUGACUAAGAAGCCCCGGCUAACUACGUGCCAGCAGCCGCGGUAAUACGUAGGGGGCAAGCGUUAUCCGGAUUUACUGGGUGUAAAGGGAGCGUAGACGGUGCAGCAAGUCUGAUGUGAAAGGUCGGGGCCCAACCCCGGGACUGCAUUGGAAACUGUUGAACUGGAGUACAGGAGAGGUAAGCGGAAUUCCUAGUGUAGCGGUGAAAUGCGUAGAUAUUAGGAGGAACACCAGUGGCGAAGGCGGCUUACUGGACUGUAACUGACGUUGAGGCUCGAAAGCGUGGGGAGCAAACAGGAUUAGAUACCCGAGUAGUC